GAUGAAGAACGUAGCGAAAAGCGAUAAGUAAUGUGAAUUCCAGAAUUCAGUGAAUCAUCGAAUCUUUGAACGCACAUUGCGCCCUCUGGUAUUCCGGGGGGCAUGCCUGUUCGAGCGUCAUUAUAACCACUCAAGCUCUCGCUUGGUAUUGGGGUUCGCGGUUUCGCGGCCCCUAAAAUCAGUGGCGGUGCCUGUCGGCUCUACGCGUAGUAAUACUUCUCGCGAUUGAGUUCGAUAGGUCUACUUGCCAGUAACCCCCAAUUUUUACAGGUUGACCUCGGAUCAGGUAGGGAUACCCGCUGAACUUAAGCAUAUCAAUAAGCGGAGGA
rnacentral:misc_RNA from 1 species